CUUCUGUGUGCAUGUGACAGUUAGAAAUAUUCCUGGGUACAUACUCUAUCAUUUAGGAGUCAUCUUCUUUUCAAAUUUUUUCAGCCAACAUGUUUUGAACCGAUAUCACAUACACAUAGCUUAAAACUCAAAAAGGAAAAAAGGGAUGCAGUGAAAAAUAAGCCUCCUUCUCGCCUCAGUUUCCUUGCUAGUCAGGGCCCCACUGUUAUCAAUUUCUUGAGUAUCUUUCAAGAGAUAUUUCAAGCAUCGUUAGAAACAUCUCUGGAGUCGUCUCUCCUGGAAAAAGGCUACCACAGUUCCGGACCUCCAUCCACAGACCACACCGUCCAAGGAACGAGAGCUUGUCAUGGACUCUAGACUGGAAACCAGCACCCAGUGGGGACUGGACUGAUGACCAGGCCAACUCCUUCCCUGGCUGCGUUUGGACUUCCAAUUGGAUCUCUCAGGGCAGGGCCUUUGGGAAUUCCCAUGAAGUAUAUUUCCCGGCUCGCAGGAAUGACCGCCCAUCCCCCUCUCCCAAGUGCCCUGAGCCCGCAGGGUUGGGGAGCCGAGAAGUGUGGGCAGUGGACUUGGAGCCUCGAAGGUCGGAGUGCCGGAUUCCACACACACAAGCAGUCCUGGGUCGGCAGCAAAGGCUGAAUGAACAGUCGCCACAAGAGGCCACACGGCAGAGACCUGCUCGAGGAGUUGCUUGUCUAGCUCCAUAGCACAGAGACUUGCACUCAAUUAUUAUUAGUUUUUUAUUAGCUAAAUUGCCAAAUGAGUGGUGGAGACAGGAAGUGGAGGAGAGAGGGCUGUGAGCUGGAUGGCAGGCAGGGCUUGGUGGAGGAGGCAGGCUCCCAGCCGGACAGCUGGGGUGGGGGAGGUGACCAGGGUGAGGUGCGUUGCUGAGGUCCGGGGAGUGGGGCGUUUUGCACCUCCUGUGCACGUUUUAAUGCAAUAUGUUGCCAUGAAGGUUGCUGAGACCAAGAUGGAAAGACACCUGGGGCAGAGCUUCUCCCACUCUCUGUGGUUGAGGGCCAGUUGUUUUCUUUUUAAUUCCUAAUCAAUGACGGGCCAUUUCUGUUGUAAAAUAUAACACAGAAGAACGGCUGGGGAAAAAAAUGAAAUAAACAAGAGACAUCCAAAAUACAAACCCCGAUUUUUUAUUAGAUUCAACUGACAUACAGUGACCGUCGAAUUGCUUUGAAAGUGUCUAAAUGCUUGCUGACAGUUUCUGCGCUAUCUCGUCCUGGAUCUGAGCAAGCCGUUUGCAGAGGGCUCCAGGCCGUGCUCUGAGAAGCCUUGCUCCAGAGAGAGCCUGAGAGAGCAAGACGGGAACAUUCAGAGAAGAUGGCCAAAGGGUGGGGCCUUGAAAACAUUGUCCCCCACUCCCUGCCCCUACCCACUUCGGGGUCCUAAGAGAAGC
rnacentral:lncRNA from 1 species